AGCGAACGCUGGCGGUAGGCCUAACACAUGCAAGUCGAACGGAUCCUUCGGGAUGCGUGGCGGACGGGUGAGUGACACGUGGGAACGUGCCCUUUGGUUCGGAACAACUCAAGGAAACUUGAGCUAAUACCGGAUGUGCCCUUCGGGGGAAAGAUUUAUCGCCAUUGGAGCGGCCCGCGUCUGAUUAUCUAGUUGGUGAGGUAAAGGCUCAACAAGGCGACUAUCAGUAGCUGGUCUGAGAGGAUGAUCAGCCACAUUGGGACUGAGACACGGCCCAAACUCCUACGGGAGGCAGCAGUGGGGAAUCUUGCGCAAUGGGCGAAAGCCUGACGCAGCCAUGCCGCGUGAAUGAUGAAGGUCUUAGGAUUGUAAAAUUCUUUCACCGGGGACGAUAAUGACGGUACCCGGAGAAGAAGCCCCGGCUAACUUCGUGCCAGCCGCCGCAGUAAUAC
rnacentral:rRNA from 1 species